UUUCAUAUGUUGGGAGCAGGUACUUUGAAAUUUUCAAAGUUUAAAAGGGAAUCCGGUUUAAAUCCGGAGCGGUCCCGCCACUGUAAUAGAGGAGUUUUCGUGAUAAAGUCACUGGUCAAACCGGGAAGGCCACGAAAAUGUUGAUCCUAAAGCCAGGAGACCUGCCUGCUUCAACAACACUGA
rnacentral:ncRNA from 2 species